AAAUAUGAUGAUUUGAUUUUUGUCGCCCCAGUCUUACUUUGCAUCUCUCAAGAGAUGUAAUAUGGUGAUUGACAUUUUUAUCUGAUUU
rnacentral:snoRNA from 1 species